rnacentral:tRNA from 1 species
GCCGGAGUGGCGGAAUUGGCAGACGCGCUGGAUUCAAAAUCCAGUGCCCGCAAGGGCGUGUGGGUUCGAGUCCCACCUCCGGCA